rnacentral:rRNA from 1 species
GCUAGAUGGGGGAGGACAGCUGCGGUAAAGUGAUGGGGGUCGUCGUUGUUCGGAGGUAUUGGGAGGAAAUGGCACGUAGGCGGCACAAAAAGCCUGAUGGGAAAUGUCCCGGAUGAACCUGGGAAGCGCAUGGGGAACUUGGGAGCUUGAGUCUAGGGGGGGAAGCUGGAAUUCCGGGUGUAGAGGUGAAAUCUGUAGAUAUCUGGAAGAACACCGGUGGCGAAGGAGAGCUUCAGGCCAUAGACUGACGCUGAGGCGCGAAAGCGUGGGGAGCGAACAGGAUUAGAUACCCGUGUAGUC